rnacentral:misc_RNA from 1 species
UUCCUUGUUUCACUAACCCUCCCACCAUAAGUACCCACCACCCAUGCUAUCUCCUUCCAGCCUUCAAAUUCUUUCUGUAUAUAUCACAUAUAUACACGUACAAGAUCCUCUUCUACCAGCCUGCCACUCUCUCUCUAAAACAAGUAGGGAGCCACCCUAAUCAAUUGUACAUCUCUUCUAUUUUUUUUCCCCCUUUGUCCUUUUUUUCCCUUUUCCCUGUGAAUCAAAGAGGGUAUACAAGAACAGGCUGGCCUACAAGAAAAUGAAAAAAAAAAAAAAAAAAAGCGCCAAAGAUACAAAAAGUAAUGGGAGGAAGAACAUGGAACCAGAGAGUAAUGAGGAAUGAAUGAAUAAAUUAAAACGGCUAAAGGAGAACUAAACUAUCUCUCUGGGUUCCUCUGGCAAUGGCCUCUAAUGGAUUAUUAUGUAGCUCUGGUUUAUGUGACAGGUAUCUGGUAAAUCCUUACACGGUGAGAGGAAAGACUGGUGGGCAGUAAAUAGUUCCCAUCAAAUAGGGCUUUAGCUUACCAAGAAGAAAAUGUGAGACUGAGAAUAGCGGUACACAUGGAGCCAUGAGUUUUAAAAGCUGUAAUGCCUCACCGAGUGUUCUAACAUAUUAUGACUUGGACAAACAAUCUCCUUCACUCGACUACCAUUCUUGUAUAUCUUGAAUGUUGGUACGAUCCUCACAUUUUCAGCAUUUGCAACUGCUGGGUUGUUUUCAAUAUCCACCUUGAGAAAAUUUAUGGAUGGAUAGCGGCCACAUAGUGUAUCCACAAAUGGAGAUAUUUGUUUGCAGUGCAAAUUAGAGGAUGAUUUGAAAUGAACUACCGACACACCAGGCAAAGAUAUUGCAGCUCUGAACUGCUCAAAUCCCAAUACUUCUUCCACUUCACCACCAAACUUCAUAUUAUA